ACUCAAAUGAAUUGACGGGGACCCGCACAAGCGGUGGAGCGUGUUGUUUAAUUCGAUGAUAAGCGAAGAACCUUACCAAGGUUUGACAUCCUGGGAAUCUCUCCGAAAGGAAAGAGUGCCUUCGGGAAUCCAGUGACAGGUGUUGCAUGGCCGUCGUCAGCUCGUGUCGUGAGAUGUUUGGUUAAGUCCAUCAACGAGCGCAACCCCUUUAGCCAGUUGAAUUUCUCUGGCUAGACUGCCCUGGUAACAGGGAGGAAGGAGGGGAUGAUGUCAGGUCAGUAUUACCCUUACACCUUGGGCUACAAACACGCUACAAUGGCCGGUACAAAGGGCAGCCAACCCGCGAGGGGGAGCAAAUCCCAUCAAAGCCGGUCUCAGUUCGGAUUGUAGGCUGAAACUCGCCUGCAUGAAGCUGGAAUCGCUAGUAACGGUAGGUCAGCACACUACCGUGAAUACGUUCCCGGGUCUUGCACACACCGCCCGU
rnacentral:rRNA from 1 species